AGUGUCAGUGGCUAUCUUCCAGGGUAAUAUGUACUUUCAGGGAACAUCAGAAGUGGCUGCCAGCACUUGGUCCUCUGGCUGUCCAACCCUGCAAGACUCCUCUGAACUGCAGCGCUGGAUCUGUAAAUUGUGUGGCUUGGCUGGCACUAUACAAAAGGACUCUCCACAUAGAACGAAUCUUGUUAGAAAAAGUGAUAGGCUGUCAAAAACAAUGCAGGUGCUUUUGGCUCCCUUGGGUUUUGAAUGAAACCCAAAGCAUGAACGGUGAGUGACCCCGAAGUCUGGAAGCAGUUUGGCCCUCCUGUCACGGGAGCCUCAGUCACUGGCGCCCCAGGGGUGUGCGGGGCUGUGAGCUGUCCCCCGCGUCACCCUCGGCUGCAGGGGCUGCUGUGGGUGGAGCCCAGGAAAGCAGGAACAAGUGCCCAUGUGGAUUUUACAUCCCAGUAACCCAGUCAACAGGUCAAUGAAGGUGACAAGCAUCCAAGUCUGUAAGGAGGAGUUAGAGCUGCUGGAACACCAAGAUGAAAAGACAGCGGAAACUGUGGAAGAAAAGUAGGACUGGAUGAAAGUAGAAGCUUUCUGGAAGAUUCUUGUGAGUUCAUAAGAAGCAGAGAUUUGGGAAAAGCUGACCAAGAGAAAAAGCAUGACCAGUUCUGGAAGUGCUGCUAUUCAUGCUGCUCUUUUGAUUGCACUGAGGAAUGCACUGAAGUCCUGCCUGUCCUGAAGAUGCCAAGGAAUCUCUGGAGAUACAGCUGAUCAACCUGGCAGUGGGAAGGAAAGCUGUCUGUCCUGCCAUCUGGGAGGGAAGGUAAGAUGGUGUGGGGUGUUGCUGAGGAAAACAAUUGUGUAACCCUGUAGCUGAGUGGGGUCUGGUUGCCAUUGAUACUAAAGCUUUUGAGGAGAAAGUGAUAUUGAACGGGCCAUUUCCAGCUGGAGAUAAGAAACACUCCUGGGUGGUUUUUUUCUGUAACAUUAUCCCAUUAUCUUCCAAGUCAGUAUAAGAAAAAUGGUUUAUGGUCUAUGUUCCAGAAUUAUCAUGGGCAAGCUGAAAAAUAUUUUGAAUUAGGAUAAGAACUGAAUGUAACAUUAAAACAUUAAGCACAUGCAAGAUCAGAUCAAAAGUCCAGGUAGCACAGCAGCCUAUCUCACUCAGAGGUCAGAAGGAUCAGUGUGGUCAAAGAGUGCAGGGCAGAGUGAAAGGAUGCUGCAAGGACACUUGUAUGACCUUGUCGUUGCUUUCUGGCAUUAUAUAACUCAAACACUUUCUGACUAGAGAUGACAUUUCUAUUUAUUAGUACUGAAUUCCUC